rnacentral:rRNA from 1 species
CGCUGACAGAAUGCUUAACACAUGCAAGUCUACUUGAUCCUUCGGGUGAUGGUGGCGGACGGGUGAGUAACGCGUAAAGAACUUGCCUUGCAGUCUGGGACAACGUCUGGAAACGGACGCUAAUACCGGAUAUUAUGAUUGAAUCGCAUGAUUUAAUUAUGAAAGCUAUAUGCGCUGCGAGAGAGCUUUGCGUCCCAUUAGUUAGUUGGUGAGGUAAUGGCUCACCAAGACGAUGAUGGGUAGCCGGCCUGAGAGGGUGAACGGCCACAAGGGGACUGAGACACGGCCCUUACUCCUACGGGAGGCAGCAGUGGGGAAUAUUGGACAAUGGACCAAAAGUCUGAUCCAGCAAUUCUGUGUGCACGAUGAAGUUUUUCGGAAUGUAAAGUGCUUUCAGUUGGGAAGAAGAAAGUGACGGUACCAACAGAAGAAGCGACGGCUAAAUACGUGCCAGCAGCCGCGGUAAUACGUAUGUCGCAAGCGUUAUCCGGAUUUAUUGGGCGUAAAGCGCGUCUAGGCGGUUUGGUAAGUCUGAUGUGAAAAUACGGGGCUCAACUCCGUAUUGCGUUGGAAACUGCCAAACUAGAGUACUGGAGAGGUAGGCGGAACUACAAGUGUAGAGGUGAAAUUCGUAGAUAUUUGUAGGAAUGCCGAUGGGGAAGCCAGCCUACUGGACAGAUACUGACGCUAAAGCGCGAAAGCGUGGGUAGCAAACAGGAUUAGAUACCCUGGUAGUUCACGCCGUAAACGAUGAUUACUAGGUGUUGGGGGUCGAACCUCAGCGCCCAAGCUAACGCGAUAAGUAAUCCGCCUGGGGAGUACGUACGCAAGUAUGAAACUCAAAGGAAUUGACGGGGACCCGCACAAGCGGUGGAGCAUGUGGUUUAAUUUGACGCAACGCGAGGAACCUUACCAGCGUUUGACAUCCCAAGAAGUUAACAGAGAUGUUUUCGUGCCUCUUCGGAGGAACUGGGUGACAGGUGGUGCAUGGUUGUUGUCAGUUGGUGUCGUGAGAUGUUGGGUUAAGUCCCGCAACGAGCGCAACCCCUUUCGUAUGUUACCAUCAUUAAGUUGGGGACUCAUGCGAGACUGCCUGCGAUGAGCAGGAGGAAGGUGGGGAUGAAGUCAAGUCAUCAUG